CAUAUGGAGUCAUCACACCUGGGGAGGAGGUGUUUGAUCAUGACAUGCAGGGAGGAGAGGAGGAUGAUGAUGACAACAUCGAGUUUCCGGAUGAGGUCAAGGUCAACCACUCUGGAGACAUCAAGGAUGAGCAGUGUUUCAUCGUUUACAAAAAAAACCUGCUGCAACUCGUCACCUUCCUGCUGCACCUUCCAGAAGAGAUGAAGUGCAGAGAGCCAGAAUGUACAAGUACCGUACGCCUUGGCCCUGACCCAGUGACCAAAUCUGUUGGCAGCGGAAUGGUCCUUAAAUGGUACUGCAGUGAUGGACACCUUCUCUGGAGGUGGUGCAGUCAGCCCACAUUCAAAUAUGGUUUGCAGGGGGGGGAUUUCAUGCUGUCUUCCAGUUUAUUGUUGUCAGGCAACAAUUACAGCAAGAUAAGCCUAAUGUUCAAGUUCAUGAACUUAGGUUGUGUGUGCGACUCAACUUUUCGCAAGAUCCAGUUGCAGUACUGUGUGCCGGUAAUCGACAGAUUCUGGAAAAGACAACUGAAUGCCCUCAUUCCCGAGAUGAAGAGGAGGAACAGUGUUGUUCUGCUUGGAGACGGAAGGAUGGAUUCCCCUGGCCAUUCUGCACAAUACUGCACUUACACUGUCAUGGAUGAAAAGACGAGAGCCAUCGUCGCCCUCGAAGUUGUUGAUAAGAGGGAAACGGAAAGAAAGUCUGCAAUAAUGGAGAAGAAGGGCUUCGAAAAAGCGAUGGACUCUCUGCUUGAAGCAGAUGUGCCGGUCAGAGGAGGUGUGCACUGACGCACACCCACAGAUUGGUGCACUGAUGAACGCUGACAAGGGGAAGUAUGGCAUGAAGGACAUCUUCCAUUCACUGGAUGUCUGGCACGGAGCAAAAAACCUGAUGAAAAAACUAUUGGCAGCACUGUGGACUGGUGUCUUGCACCAUGUGUGUGAUGAACACCAAUGGGCUCUUGGAGCUUGUGACCAUGACCCGAUCACAGAGGAGACCCCUCGGACCAAAACCUGGCUUGUGCCUGGUUCUCCAGCCCACAAGAAGCUAACCGCCAUCAUCAUGAAGCCGAGAUGGCUGAAGACAAUUUACAAGUACCUGCGCUUCCGAACAACCUCUGAUCUGGAGUCGUUCCAAAACCACAUCCUGAUGUAUGCCUCAAAGAGGUAUGGUUUCAGCCCCCCAGUCUACGAAGCCCGUUGCAAGUUGGCAGCCCUAGAUUACUACGAGCACAAAGACAGGGCAGUGUGGAAGACAAAAGAUGGGGAUAUCAAGUACAAGAGACGCUUCCAGAAGAAGUCAGAUAGGUGGUCUAUCUACGUUUCGAGGGAGCCAAAGAAAUACACAUACAUCACAGACCUGCAGUCCCAAAUCUUGGAUGAAAGGAUUGACUUGGGAAAGGGAAUGAGCAGGAAGCAGCCAAUGUCAGAGACUGAUCCUAGGAGGCUCGGUCUUCUGCCCAGAGUGCCACCAGUCCCAACCAAUGUGCUGGUCCUGGAGCACAGGUCCAGGAUAGAUGAGUCUGCAGGGGAGUCUUCAACUUUUAUGGGAUUGUCAUAGUUUUCUGUUAUUGUAGGGUAGGUAGGUAGAUAUUACAGUCGGGUUUGUCGGUAACCUUUGUAUUGGCCUUGUGGGUCAGGAAAAGUGUUUCUGAUCCUCCACACACAACAACUGGGUAUCACAACUCUAUUGCCCUCUCCCAGGCGCCCAUACUGCCACAGCACAAACUGUCUGUAGGCAGCAUGCCGGAACUCUCUGUUGUCUUCCCCAGGCUCCUGGACGUCCUGCAAGGCCAGAAUGUCAUUCCUGUACAUUCUGGUCAACACUGUGCUUUUUUUAUGAUAUGUACUGACUUAUAUGACAUGUACUGCCAAAUAUUAAAUUGCCUACUGUUCAAGUUUUCAUACUGUCUUGUCAAGUAAUUGUCAACAUGAGUAAUGAUAAUA
ensembl:lncRNA